AAGCUCGGAGGAAAGUGCUCUGAACACUCUGUUGGGUCGGAGAUUUCGCUCGGAGUUUCGUGCGGAAGUACUUCCAAGUUGCAUUCUAUCAUCCUCAUUUCCGGCUUCGGAGCGUUCCUGUUCGUCUUUGUGGCACAACGAGUCGGAGAACAACAUGGACGCCACCAUGGUAGCUGCCUCACUAUGCAGACCAUUUUCAAACAACGUUGCGAGCUUGUUGUUCAUCUCCAGGAUGAGGCGAGAAAGAAAAACCGCAGACCCAAAUGGGUUUUCUGGACAUGGAUACCUACACAUUUUCCCGGCAUUUCCGAAUACCAAGAACCCGGUUUGAGGUCCUUCAAAGGUACCUAGAGGAGUGUGGCCUGGAAAG